rnacentral:rRNA from 2 species
UGAGAGUUUUGAUCAUGGCUCAGGACGAACGCUGGCGGCGUGCCUAAUACAUGCAAGUCGAACGAACUCUGGUAUUGAUUGGUGCUUGCAUCAUGAUUUACAUUUGAGUGAGUGGCGAACUGGUGAGUAACACGUGGGAAACCUGCCCAGAAGUGGGGGAUAACACCUGGAAACAGAUGCUAAUACCGCAUAACAACUUGGACCGCAUGGUCCGAGCUUGAAAGAUGGCUUCGGCUAUCACUUUUGGAUGGUCCCGCGGCGUAUUAGCUAGAUGGUGGGGUAACGGCUCACCAUGGCAAUGAUACGUAGCCGACCUGAGAGGGUAAUCGGCCACAUUGGGACUGAGACACGGCCCAAACUCCUACGGGAGGCAGCAGUAGGGAAUCUUCCACAAUGGACGAAAGUCUGAUGGAGCAACGCCGCGUGAGUGAAGAAGGGUUUCGGCUCGUAAAACUCUGUUGUUAAAGAAGAACAUAUCUGAGAGUAACUGUUCAGGUAUUGACGGUAUUUAACCAGAAAGCCACGGCUAACUACGUGCCAGCAGCCGCGGUAAUACGUAGGUGGCAAGCGUUGUCCGGAUUUAUUGGGCGUAAAGCGAGCGCAGGCGGUUUUUUAAGUCUGAUGUGAAAGCCUUCGGCUCAACCGCUAGAAGUGCAUCGGCGUG